CGGUGUGAUCAUAGCAACACUAAUGCACCAGAUCCCAUUAGAACUCCGCAGUUAAGUGAUUCGCUUUUUUCAUAGCAGCACUAAUGCUCCGU
rnacentral:rRNA from 1 species